UAGCAAUUUUUCUUUUCCUGAUAGCGUUGUUGUGCUUCCAUGGAUACCACUUACAACAGUUGCUGUGGCUCUUAGGCUCAUGGAGUUUGAUAUAUGUGGCCAUCGUAAACAUGCUACAGAAGAAGCUGGAGACUCAGAAGAACAAGGAAUCUGAGAAUUUUAUAAAAAUAUGAGGAGAUCUGUGCACUCCUGGUUGAAGAAUUUUGUUACAUUACUUAUAGGGUCCCUUAUUGAUAACACAUGUUUUAAGGAAAGAUUGGGCAGUAAAGGCGCGCAAAUCAUAUAGCCAAAAUGAUAUUGACGAGGUGUGCAUUGAAGUGGCUGAUUAUAUACAGAGUUUGGUGUAAGACUUUUGGCUUCCAUGAUUUUGAGUAAGGCUAGUUUUUGCUUUGAAGCAAAGUUUGGUGUAGAACGUAUGUUUGUAGUUGGUUGCUAAU